rnacentral:rRNA from 1 species
CCUACGGGGGGCAGCAGUGGGGAAUAUUGCACAAUGGGGGAAACCCUGAUGCAGCGACGCCGCGUGAGUGAAGAAGUAUUUCGGUAUGUAAAGCUCUGUCAGCAGGGAAGAAAAUGACGGUACCUGACCAAGAAGCCCCGGCUAACUACGUGCCAGCAGCCGCGGUAAUACGUCGGGGGCAAGCGUUAUCCGGAUUUACUGGGUGUAAAGGGAGCGGAGACGGCAGGGCAAGUCUGGAGUGAAAGGCGGGGGCUCAACCCCCGGACUGCUCUGGAAACUGCCAGGCGGGAGUGCAGGAGAGGUAAGUGGAUUUCCUAGUGUAGCGGUGAAAUGCGUAGAUAUUAGGCGGAACACCAGUGGCGACGGCGGCUUACUGGACUGUAACUGACGUUGAGGCUCGAACGCGUGGGGAGCAAACAGGAUUAGAUACCCUGGUAGUC